UGGGGAAUUUUGCACAAUGGGGGAAACCCUGAUGCAGCGACGCCGCGUGAUUUAGAAGGCCUUCGGGUUGUAAAAAUCUUUUCUAUGGGAAGAAAAUGACAGUACCAUAGGAAUAAGGACCGGCCAAUUACGUGCCAGCAGCCGCGGUAAUACGUAAGGCCCGAGCGUUGUCCGGAAUCAUUGGUCGUAAAGGGUACGUAGGCGGGUAAGCAAGUUAGAAGUGAAAUCCUGUAGCUCAACUACAGUAAGCUUUUAAAACUGCUCAUCUUGAGAUAUGGAAGGGAAAGUGGAAUUCCUAGUGUGGCGGUGAAAUGCGCAGAUAUUAGGAGGAAUACCGGUGGCGAAAGCGACUUUCUGGCCAUAAUCUGACGCUGAGGUACGAAAGCGUGGGUAGCAAACAGG
rnacentral:rRNA from 1 species